UGGUCAAGUUAUUAAGGGUGCAGGGCGGAUGCCUUGGCACUAGGAGCCGAUGAAGGACGUGAUAAGCUGCGAUAAGCUUCGGGGAGUUGCACGUAAACUUUGAUCCGAAGAUUUCCGAAUGAGGAAACUCACUUAGAGUAAUGUCUAAGUAUCAUUAAGUGAAUACAUAGCUUAAUGAGGGGAACUCAGGGAACUGAAACAUCUAAGUACCUGAAGGAAGAGAAAGAAAUUCGAUUCCGUAAGUAGCGGCGAGCGAACGCGGAUUAGCCCAAACCAAUAAAGUUUUCUUUAUUGGGGUUGAGGACAUACCACAUAUAAGAGGUCAUUAUAGACGAAGAAGUUUGGAAAAACUCAUCAUAGAAGGUAAUAAUCCUGUAGUCAAAAUAAUAAUUCUUUAGGUAUGAUCCAGAGUACCACGGGACACGUGAAACCCUGUGGGAAGCAGGAGGGACCACCCUCCAAGGCUAAAUACUACCUAGUGACCGAUAGCGUAUAGUACCGUGAGGGAAAGGUGAAAAGAACCCCGGGAGGGGAG
rnacentral:rRNA from 1 species